rnacentral:rRNA from 1 species
AGCUAGUUGGUGGGGUAAAAGCUCACCAAGGCGACGAUCUGUAGCGGGUCUGAGAGGAUGAUCCGCCACACUGGAACUGAGACACGGUCCAGACUCCUACGGGAGGCAGCAGUGGGGAAUUUUGGACAAUGGGGGCAACCCUGAUCCAGCCAUGCCGCGUGAGUGAAGAAGGCCUUCGGGUUGUAAAGCUCUUUCGGCCGGGAAGAAAUCGUAUCAGCUAAUACCUGGUGCGGAUGACGGUACCGGCAUAAGAAGCACCGGCUAACUACGUGCCGGCAGCCGCGGUAAUACGUAGGGUGCGAGCGUUAAUCGGAAUUACUGGGCGUAAAGCGUGCGCAGGCGGUUUUGUAAGACAGGCGUGAAAUCCCCGGGCUCAACCUGGGAACUGCGUUUGUGACUGCAAGGCUAGAGUACGGCAGAGGGGGGUGGAAUUCCACGUGUAGCAGUGAAAUGCGUAGAGAUGUGGAGGAACACCAAUGGCGAAGGCAGCCCCCUGGGUCGAUACUGACGCUCAUGCACGAAAGCGUGGGUAGCAAACAGGAUUAGAUACCCUGGUAGUCCACGCCCUAAACGAUGUCAACUAGGUGUUGGGAGGGUAAAACCUUUUAGUACCGGAGCUAACGCGUGAAGUUGACCGCCUGGGGAGUACGGCCGCAAGGUUAAAACUCAAAGGAAUUGACGGGGACCCGCACAAGCGGUGGAUGAUAUGGAUUAAUUCGAUGCAACGCGAAAAACCUUACCUACCCUUGACAUGUCAGGAACUUUCCAGAGAUGGAUUGGUGCUCGAAAGAGAACCUGAACACAGGUGCUGCAUGGCUGUCGUCAGCUCGUGUCGUGAGAUGUUGGGCUAAGUCCCGCAACGAGCGCAACCCUUGUCGUUAAUUGCCAUCAUUUAGUUGGGCACUUUAACGAGACUGCCGGUGACAAACCGGAGGAAGGUGGGGAUGACGUCAAGUCCUCAUGGCCCUUAUGGGUAGGGCUUCACACGUCAUACAAUGGUCGGUACAAAGGGUCGCCAAGCCGCGAGGUGGACUAAUCCCAGAAAGCCGAUCGUAGUCCGGAUUGCAGGCUGCAACUCGCCUGCAUGAAGUCGGAAUCGCUAGUAAUCGUGGAUCAGCAUGUCACGGUGAAUACGUUCCCGGGUCUUGUACACACCGCCCGUCACACCAUGGGAGCGGGUUCCGCCAGAAGUAGGUAGCCUAACCGCAAGGAGGGCGCUUACCACGGCGGGGUUCGUGACUGGGGUGAAGUCGUAACAAGGUAGCCGUAGGGGAACCUGCGGCUG